rnacentral:rRNA from 1 species
CAGCAGCCGCGGUAAUACGAAGGGGGCUAGCGUUGUUCGGAAUUACUGGGCGUAAAGCGCACGUAGGCGGAUAUUUAAGUCAGGGGUGAAAUCCCAGAGCUCAACUCUGGAACUGCCUUUGAUACUGGGUAUCUUGAGUAUGGAAGAGGUGAGUGGAAUUCCGAGUGUAGAGGUGAAAUUCGUAGAUAUUCGGAGGGACACCAGUGGCGAAGGCGGCUCACUGGUCCAUUACUGACGCUGAGGUGCGAAAGCGUGGGGAGCAAACAGGAUUAGAUACCCGUGUAGUCCCUGUCUCUUAUAC